AUGUCUCUCCUACUUACACGGCAGAAAUCCUAUCCUGAUGCUUGACCUUAAGUCCUUCUACAAAGCCUUUGAACACAUCCUGCUUCCACAUCAUACGUCAGCAAUCAUUUGCAUAGCCGUAAAUAAGUACACAGCGCACAGGAGGGACAUGUCCUGAGAACUGAGCAGGGAGGACCUGCCUGGGACCUGCCCAUCCGCACUGCGAGAGGUGCACAGGAUAUCUGCAAGGAGGCAUUUCAAUUCAUUCUUUUCUGAAGGAUAUCGAAUAAAACUGUCCAUUAACCUAAAGGAGUGAAUGUAAUCAUACGAACACUGUGUUUUCUUGAUGACUUUUAUGUAUUGUAAGAAAGCCAAUAAGGACCCCUUGGGGAAAAAAUAUCAGAAUAAAUGGUAACCUAAAGAAUUUACCUGGGGUGAACAUAAUGCCAUUUUACAGUGUGAUUUGAGCUGCCUAUAGAGAGUGCUUUGGUUCUUUCACAGAUCCAAGCUGCUGUCCCUCAGAGUGGCACAGCACUGCAUUAGCACACCGCACAGAAAACACUUGGUUUCAGGAAAAAUUAAUGUCCUGAUAGCCACACUAAGCUUAUGUACCAAAGACAUCCGUGACUAUUUUUUCAUGUACAAAAACAGCGGUCAGUAAUCCUCGCCCAGCUCCCCAUUGCAGCAUCCAUUCUUGGGGGCUGCUGAAGCUCAUUUCUGUGGCACAAGGCAGGGAACCACAGCAAGCUUAAUCUCUUCCAGAGCAUUAAAAAACCAUCAGGAAAUGACUGUGUCACUGCUGAAGUUGCAAUCAGGGAAACAAGCUGAGUUAAAUGAACAGAUCCCUAUUCACUCUGAAUUCAGAAGCUGAGAUAGUCAGGGAAAGGACAGACCUGAUGCCCAUGAUGUUCUUGAAAGGGAAGAGACAGUGUCUGCCUGGUACAGUUAGAGAUGGAGGGCACGUUGUUACACAUGGAGGGCAAUAUUAGCUCCAUCAUUUCCAGUUCAUGAGCUCUUCCUGCUUCUAGCAUUGUUGGCUUGAAAAAAUAACCAGAGAAUUUUGCUUCCUGAAUAUACCCACAUGAAUCCCAACGCCACGCAUUUAAUGAGCACUUUUAUAUGAAACAGCUUGCCUGCAUCUAUUUUAUUGUAUUACCUUUUGUCUUUUUUGUUCUAAAUGAGUCCUUGACAUUUUUUUGCAGUUGCCUGCAGAUCCUAAAAGAAGUGCAGUCAUUUCACAGUUUGUGAGUUAUGUAUCUCGUGUGCAAUACUAAAUAUUGCUACUUUAUAAUGGGAAAUCUGCUGUUCUCAACAUCCCAAAACAUGGUAAGGCAGAAGACAUCUGACAAGGGUCCCUAAUGAGAUCUCAUUCAGCUGUGGGUUAUUUCAAAAGAGACAAAUUUCCCAUGGAAAAUUUGCUUCAGCACUAUGUCCAGUCCUAUGUCAGUGGUACAGCAAUUGUGUGCAUAACACUGAAAACAGGCUGCCCCCAGAGCUGCCUGUGUCAACAGAAAAAGCGUCAAGAAAAUGCCACUGACUUUUCCCAGAGCCAUUCUUCCCCCUACACCUAUGUGCCAUCCUAAAGAGCUUCUCAGGCAUGUUCAACAAUGUGACAGAAGCAUCACUGGCCCGACGUGUGACAUCACUACGGGAGGUGUGACACAACAGUUCAUUAGCCCUGCCAACAGAAUUCAAGGAUCUGGCUGCCAGGGACCGCACAGGUCAGCCGGGAGAAAGAGCUUGGAGAAUUGUCUUCAUAUAAGAGCCUGCAAAGGACUUCCUGAAGCAGACAGAGAGGAUCUUGCUUCACAUCACCACCUGGCCUGUGGUCAUGUCACUUUCAAGGUGGUAUCUCAGGCUUUUGGAACUUGCUAGAUCAUCUGUCUUCCUUGCCUACACGGUAACGGUAUAUUUCAAGAACAUGACAAGCCACCUAAUCACAGAUUUACAAGAGAAGGUGACAGCAUUACAGAAGGAAAACCAGAGUUUUAGGAGAUGGAAAGAGAUCACAUUAGAAAAUCUCAACUCAUUUUGGGAAGGGAAUGGAGAUAUGAUCUCAGACUUCCAAGACAAGACCAAGGCUGCUUGGAAAAAGAACAUGACUCUCUGGAAAAAAAACAUGACCUUCUGGAACAAUGUCAACAUCCUACUAAAGGAUGAAGAGGAAAUCUGGGGAAAAGAUCUAGUCAAAUGGAAAGCAGAGCUGGACCUUUGGAAGAAGGAGCUGGACCUUUGGGGAGAGGAACAAGAAUUCCUUGGAAAGUGAAAACAUUCACAGAAGAAAACAAAACUGUACUGGUCAAAAAUCAAAGAUGAGGCACUCGUGCUUAGAAUGAUUUCUGCCUUCUUACACUAAUAAAACCUUGACUGCUCUCUGAAAUGAUCUGCUUUUUAUUUCCAGAUUUGCUCUGUUGACCUUUUCCAAUCUCAGCUCCCCGUCUCCGUUUCCUCUGAUGAAACACCACCAUUUAGCUGCCUAGUUCUAACUCACCAGCAGAUGAAUGAGGCUGGGGAAUCUAAAAUCUAACUUCAUUAAGGAUAUCUUAACCAACAAAUUUCUAUUGCUCCUUGUAGAAUUACACAGAAAAUUUGAUGGUGUUAGAAAUGCUCUUUCAUUAAAACUUAAUGAAAAUGGUGAAUAUAAUUAGUUGCCUGUUAGACUGAAAAAUAAAAUCAAC
rnacentral:lncRNA from 1 species